rnacentral:lncRNA from 1 species
AAUGGCGACGCCCAUGCUUUGACAUGUUUACAAUUUAAUAUUCGACAUGGAUACGUUUGAGGAUUUAGAAGAUUUACUUGAAGUGUUUGUAUUGGGAAGUAAAUCUAGUACAUCAAAUAGCCAAUGUACACAGGAACUUGCAGAAGCUGGAACUACAAAUGAUGAUGCUGAUGAUGAAAUGUCCGUGGAAAACCUGGUGGAAAACUUCAUGGCAGCUAGUGUUCAAACCGAUACAGCUGGCGAUGAACACAUCUAAACCAAACCGAUGAGUUUGACGAAGAUGAUCCCCAAAGAGAUCUCGCAACUAUCAAACAUAAACUUCAAGAGGGGUGUGGCUGUAAACUUUGUUGUUUCAAAGGUGUUACAGUAGGAGUUGUUCUAGACAAUAUUCUUAGAA